rnacentral:lncRNA from 1 species
CUGCGGCUAUGGGUAUCUGUCUUUUGCAAUCAUCAUUUAGAUUUAGUUCUUAGAGACAGUCUCUAUCAUUUGUAUGUUGAUGUAUAUGUGAACUUAAUUAAGCAAUCAGUGAAUGUCAUUGGAUCUGAGAGAUCUAAAAUUGAGAUAAAAUUUAAAGUAUAUGUGGAACCAUAGCUAAGUCAUAUUGGAGAAAAAAUGAUUAAUAAACUGAAAAAUAUGGGUUUGGACUCAUUGAC